AAGUAAAACACAUGAAUGAAACCCAGCAAUAUCAAGUUUGUGGCAUAACUUCUCCUUUACUUUUGAUGUCCAUAAUAAUCAUACAUAAUUAAAAUUGAUAUUUUUCUAUAUGAAUAUCAAGAAAAGAAAAUUUAUAAAAACUGUGAAAAAUUCAGGAAUUGAAAAGAAAAACUGAACAAAGUGAUUUAGAAUGGAAAACAAUCAACAACUACCAUCAGCAAAAAUAAGUGUAUAUUUUUAAUGUGCCGUGUGUGCAUGUAGUCCAGCCAUAUCCCUCUCUAGAGUAAUUGAAAGUAUAAGUAUGCUCUCUAUUACACAAAAGCUAAGCAGCAGCAAAUAUUGCUGCAUCAUUGAAGCACAUUAGAACACAAUUGCACAUUUGCUACCAUGUAAUUGCCUCUAUUUAGUUGUAGUUUGAAAGGACAAUGUGAUAUUCGACUAGUAGUAUUAAAGGAUUAAAUCCAUGAAAAGAUGCUCAAUGAUGCUAUGUUAAAUAGUAUUUCUUGAUUACUUUGCUCAUCAUAAGCUAGACAUUCAAUGCACAGUAAGAUCCAAACAAACUUUAACUGCUCACCUGGAUUACCACAAUCAUCAGUCA
rnacentral:misc_RNA from 1 species